rnacentral:rRNA from 1 species
GAGGACGACCAGCCACACUGGGACUGAGACACGGCCCAGACUCCUACGGGAGGCAGCAGUGGGGAAUAUUGGACAAUGGGCGCAAGCCUGAUCCAGCAAUACCGCGUGUGUGAAGAAGGCCCUAGGGUUGUAAAGCACUUUCAAUGGGGAGGAAAACCUGCCGGUCAAUACCCGGUAGCUUGACAUUACCUGUAGAAGAAGCACCGGCUAACUCCGUGCCAGCAGCCGCGGUAAUACGGAGGGUGCGAGCGUUAAUCGGAAUUACUGGGCGUAAAGCGUGCGUAGGCGGUUCGUUAAGUCAGAUGUGAAAGCCCCGGGCUUAACCUGGGAACGGCAUUUGAAACUGGCGGACUGGAGUUGAGUAGAGGUAAGUGGAAUUUCAGGUGUAGCGGUGAAAUGCGUAGAUAUCUGAAGGAACACCAGUGGCGAAGGCGACUUACUGGACUCAAACUGACGCUGAGGUACGAAAGCGUGGGUAGCAAACAGGAUUAGAUACCCUGGUAGUCCACGCUGUAAACGAUGUCAACUAGCCGUUGGUCCUAUUGACAGGAUUAGUGGCGCAGCUAACGCCUUAAGUUGACCGCCUGGGGAGUACGGCCGCAAGGUUAAAACUCAAAGGAAUUGACGG